rnacentral:lncRNA from 1 species
AUAGCCACGUGGAGGUUUCAGGAUAGGCUGUACAGCCUUCAGCAGUUUGCCAUAGAGCACUCUAGUUCUGAGUCACCAUCAGACUAGAAGUUUUAUACAGAUCACUGGAUGUGAAUGGACAUAUAGAAAGCCCUCUGUGAUCAGUGGAGUACUAAAGAGUACUCUGAUAGAUGGUAGAGGGCGUGGCAGAAUUGAUCUAUCCAAC